rnacentral:rRNA from 1 species
ACCCGCUGAACUUAAGCAUAUCAAUAAGCGGAGGAAAAGAAACCAACAGGGAUUGCCCUAGUAACGGCGAGUGAAGCGGCAACAGCUCAAAUUUGAAAUCUGGCGUCUUUGGCGUCCGAGUUGUAAUUUGCAGAGGGCGCUUUGGCAUUGGCAGCGGUCCAAGUUCCUUGGAACAGGACGUCACAGAGGGUGAGAAUCCCGUACGUGGUCGCUAGCCUUUACCGUGUAAAGCCCCUUCGACGAGUCGAGUUGUUUGGGAAUGCAGCUCUAAAUGGGAGGUAAAUUUCUUCUAAAGCUAAAUACUGGCCAGAGACCGAUAGCGCACAAGUAGAGUGAUCGAAAGAUGAAAAGCACUUUGGAAAGAGAGUCAAACAGUACGUGAAAUUGUUGAAAGGGAAGCGCUUGCAGCCAGACUUGCCUGUAGUUGCUCAUCCGGGUUUUUACCCGGUGCACUCUUCUAUAGGCAGGCCAGCAUCAGUUUGGGCGGUUGGAUAAAGGUCUCUGUCAUGUACCUCUCUUCGGGGAGAACUUAUAGGGGAGACGACAUGCAACCAGCCCGGACUGAGGUCCGCGCAUCUGCUAGGAUGCUGGCGUAAUGGCUGU